rnacentral:lncRNA from 1 species
AUUCGAAUCAAAUAUAUAGGACCUCUAAAUCGAAAUCCAUUGACCUUGUUGUGUUGCACAACUUUUUAAUCCGGUGAAAGGCUUUAAAACUAUUAUUUAAUUAAACAGUUUAGCUACAGAAUGGUAGUUUCGAUUUUGUGGCCGUAAUUAUUUGAGUAAGGUGCAUUUAAUUGAUCUGAGGGAAAGUUCCUUUCUUGUCAUUAUCGGCGAUGGGGGUAGCUGACCAGUUUAACGUUUUUUUACAAAAAAAUCACUUUAUACAUGGACACACACGUGCUAAUUAGUUUGUAAUAGCAACUCACAAGUUCAUUAAACCUCAAAUACCUUCGGGGAUACUCUGUCAUCCUGUGUUUGUUUAAUUAAAUCAUGCAAAUAAUUAAUAAUAUUUUAU